rnacentral:tRNA from 1 species
GUUGUGGCUCAGUGGUAGAGUGCUCACCUAGCAUGUUGAGGACCUGGGUUCAAUCCUCAGCAUAACA